rnacentral:rRNA from 1 species
AUGUUUUCGCAGGGCGCCGCCGACGUUCCGUGCACUCUCCUCCACUUCGUGAACAACGAGUUGGUCGAUGUCGCCAAGGAAAAAAUCAUUCAACCGGGCAACCCCUGGUUCCACGGUACCCAGAUGCCACCCAACUUGUUUAGGGUUCAACUGGUUCGGGUGCUGCCAGGCUGCAACGACUUGUUACCUCCGAUUCGACCCGUCGGGGCCGACGAUGAUGACGUGAUGACCCUCAGCGCCUGCCUGAGCUGGCCCCUGCUUUGGCCGAAGAGCCAGAUUCGUUUGGGGGCGGGGGACACCACCCCAAAGACAACACCGCCAGUCGUGCCGGCGCCAAGUCGGCCCCAUGGCAAGACCGCAGCAACGGUGCCGGACAUCCCUAUGCCACUGGAUCCAAACAUGCAUAUGGCACAGGAUCAGAACGACGACGAUGACAACGAUGAUACAUUUGGCAAUGUCGAUCAGUACUUUGCCGAUCAUGGGUACGAUGGCGACUUCAUGGGGCCUCCUUCUCAAGAACCAAACCCAACAAAAGACGUGUGCGAUCUAGCUGGUACCACGGAGAAGCCAAGUUGCAACAGGCGCCGUCUGGCGUUCAGCUCUCAGGAGACGCCUCCAGCUGCCGACUUCACCGAGCCUCAGAUAGGCGAGGUGCGAAAUAUUAUCAGCCCCAACACACUCAAGAAGGCGGUCUGUGAGCAGAACUCGGUCCCAUUACAGGAGAAGAAGAAGGCACGCAAAAGAAAGACUAAGAAGGGUGUGAGCCAGCCGGCACCGAGUACGAUCCGUGCUCAGGACGGGCCACCUUCACCGCAGGAUAUCUCGAGGAGGGUGCAUGUGGCGGGUAGGGCGAUGCUACCGACAAAUAUGCUCAAUGCUGCAACCGGUGCCAUGCGGAGUCUGCAUGACAGUGUUCUUUCUUUGGAGAAGCGGCGUCUCAGAGAGAACGAUGUGGCAUACCCGAUUUUUGCGGCCAAGGUGCUAGAGGGCAAGGGCUUUGUGGAUAACUCCAUCGGGCGUACGAUCGUCCUGCAUUUUCAUGACAUCCACGCUAUGUUGAACCUUCAUCCGCUGCACUACACCUUCGUUCGGCUAUUUUCGCUGAGUAUGGAGAUGUGGAUCAUUUGCGACAAGACCCCGGACAUUGUGAUAGUCGACCCCUUCUACAUGCGUGCCAAGAUCUUGGGCAGCGCUGGGGACCGGCAAGUCGCGAGUUCUUACCUCGAAGGCGUCAUUCUGGCAAACCAAGAUAAGGAUAACUUCCUCGUGCCUUACUUUCCCGAGUAA